AUGAUCUCAGUAAAAACAAACCCAAACCUGAACAGUUGUGGUAAUUCUGUUUUGAUUUACAGCAGUGAUAACCAGCAGAUACACGAGCUGCCUGGCAGAGGAGCAGACAGAACUCUCAUGGGACUGACUGCAUUGUCAAUACUCCUUGAUGGGUCAACGAGGUUUGGGUUCUGGUUAACAUCCUGCACUCUUCAAGCAUCUCCUCUGGCUGCAGUAUCAGAAGGGGUAUCACCUUCAGUGCUAAUGUGCACGGAUAAGAGGAUGAGGAAAGCUACUUUGCGAGGAUUCUCCUUUUGCUGCUCUGCAAUGAAACAGAGAUUUAAAGAGACUGUCAUCAGGACAAACACAUGGGGCAAGUUCACAGCUGAAAGCAUCAGGAGAAGAAUGCUGGAAGAGGGGAAGAAGUAUGAACACAGAGCAGCCUAA
rnacentral:lncRNA from 1 species